GCCCCGUUAGUUCAAUUGGAUAGAGCAACGGCCUUCUAAGCCGUGAGUUACAGGUUCGAAUCCUGUACGGGGUG
rnacentral:tRNA from 1 species